rnacentral:lncRNA from 1 species
UUUUUUUUUCCCUAAAAAAAGGUAAGCAUCUUUGAUAAAUGUCUUUCAAAUAUCACAAGAAGGCACCUGUUUGCAUGUCUCAAUGAUUUUUUAGCUUUUAUAUUUGUAAAAUAAAAUACAAAUAUAUAAAACAAUAGGAAACAAAUGUGUAAGGUAAAAACACCUGUGGUCGGGAGAAUUCUAAAGAUGUCCUCCCAGGAUUCUGGUCGCCUAGUUAUUCAGUCAAACACCAGUCUAGGCGUUGCUGUGAAGGGACUUUGAGACGGAAUUAAGUUUACUCAUCAGCUGACCUUAAAAUAGGGAACUUAUCCUGGAUUAUCAAGGUGGGACCAAUGUAAUCACAUAAGCCCUUAGAAACAGAAGAGGAAAGCAAAAGAGUUGCAGCAGAAGGAGAAAUCAGAGAGAUUCAAAGCACAGAAAGGACUCAACCCACUGCUGCCUGCUGCCGUUGAAGACGGAGCGGACAAUGUAAAAGGAAUGUGGGUAGUCUUAAGAAGCUGAGAGAGGCUCCUGGCUGACAGCCAGCAAGGAACAGGAUCCUCAGCCCUGCAGCCACAAGGAACUGAAUUCAGCCAACCGCCUGAAUGAGCAUAAAGCCUCCAGAUCAGAGCCCAGCUGCCCAAGAACUUGAUUUCCGCCUUGUGAGACCCACAGCAGAAAAUCCAGGCAAGCUCACCUGGACUUCUGACCUACAGAACUGUCAGGUCUUAUCAAAUUUAAGAGAAAUUUGUCUGCCGAGAAGAUAUAACUGAUAAAAGGAUGGAGGGUCAAAGGCAGGCAUAUGUUGCCAUCUUACAGUGAAACCUACACGGUUGCAGCAGGACCCUGGCAAAUUGCUCCAGCUCUAAGUGUCCAAAAAUUACCUCGGCACUGUUAUGUACCGGCAUGUUGCCUUGAGCUCGUUAUGUAAUGGCAUAGAACUCAUUAUGUAGUAGCCUGCACAUAUGCCCUGAUCGGGCCCAGCUGUUAUACAGUUGUAACACAUCCUCUGCACUCUGGUGUAUAAAAUCUCCAAAUGCACUGAGCUUGGUUGGGGGGACGGGGGGAGAGGGACACUGCUUUGGGAGCCAUCCCCGAUGUUCUCCAUUGUUUGUGCAAGCAAU